AUAAGCAAUUUAUACAGUGAAACUGCGAAUGGCUCAUUAAAUCAGUUAUCGUUUAUUUGAUAGUUCCUUUACUACAUGGUAUAACUGUGGUAAUUCUAGAGCUAAUACAUGCUUAAAAUCUCGACCCUUUGGAAGAGAUGUAUUUAUUAGAUAAAAAAUCAAUGUCUUCGGACUCUUUGAUGAUUCAUAAUAACUUUUCGAAUCGCAUGGCCUUGUGCUGGCGAUGGUUCAUUCAAAUUUCUGCCCUAUCAACUUUCGAUGGUAGGAUAGUGGCCUACCAUGGUUUCAACGGGUAACGGGGAAUAAGGGUUCGAUUCCGGAGAGGGAGCCUGAGAAACGGCUACCACAUCCAAGGAAGGCAGCAGGCGCGCAAAUUACCCAAUCCUAAUUCAGGGAGGUAGUGACAAUAAAUAACGAUACAGGGCCCAUUCGGGUCUUGUAAUUGGAAUGAGUACAAUGUAAAUACCUUAACGAGGAACAAUUGGAGGGCAAGUCUGGUGCCAGCAGCCGCGGUAAUUCCAGCUCCAAUAGCGUAUAUUAAAGUUGUUGCAGUUAAAAAGCUCGUAGUUGAACUUUGGGCCCGGUUGGCCGGUCCGAUUUUUUCGUGUACUGGAUUUCCAACGGGGCCUUUCCUUCUGGCUAACCUUGAGUCCUUGUGGCUCUUGGCGAACCAGGACUUUUACUUUGAAAAAAUUAGAGUGUUCAAAGCAGGCGUAUUGCUCGAAUAUAUUAGCAUGGAAUAAUAGAAUAGGACGUUUGGUUCUAUUUUGUUGGUUUCUAGGACCAUCGUAAUGAUUAAUAGGGACGGUCGGGGGCAUCAGUAUUCAAUUGUCAGAGGUGAAAUUCUUGGAUUUAUUGAAGACUAACUACUGCGAAAGCAUUUGCCAAGGACGUUUUCAUUAAUCAAGAACGAAAGUUAGGGGAUCGAAGAUGAUCAGAUACCGUCGUAGUCUUAACCAUAAACUAUGCCGACUAGGGAUCGGGUGGUGUUUUUUUAAUGACCCACUCGGCACCUUACGAGAAAUCAAAGUCUUUGGGUCUGGGGGGA
rnacentral:rRNA from 1 species